GCGAGAUUCGUAUAAUGGUAGUACAUCUCCCUUCCAAGGAGAAAGCGCCAGUCCGAUUCUGGUAUCUCGCU
rnacentral:tRNA from 1 species